AAAACGCCCUUAAGCCCUAGCAGGGCCAAGGAGCCGGUAUCAGGCACAAUUAUUAGCCCAAAACACCUAGCUAUGCCACACCCACAAGGGACCACAGCAGUAAUUAACCUUGAACAUAAGCGCCAGCUUGAUUCAGUUAAAGUAAAAAGGGCCGGCAAAUGUGGUGCCAGCCGCCGCGGUUACACCAUCUGACCCAAACUGACCUCUUACGGCGUAAAGCGUGAUUAAUUUUUUCUCCCCACUGUAGUUAAACUAACACUAAGCCGUAAAACACUUUUAGUUAGGAAACCCAAAAACGAAAGUUACUACAUACAAAACAAUUUGAAUUCACUAAAGUUGAGGCACAAACUAGGAUUAGAUACCCUACUAUGCUUAACCUUAAACUCUUAACUUACACCACCUAUCGCCAGGGAACUACGAGCAAAGCUAAAACCCAAAGGACUUGACGGUACCCCAUACCCCCCUAGAGGAGCCUGUCCUUUAAAUCGAUAAUCCACGUUAAACCUCACCACUUCUAGCCAUCAGUCUGUAUAC
rnacentral:rRNA from 1 species